ensembl:lncRNA
GUGCCUGGCCACCUAACCAGUCAAUGGAUCCCAACAAGGCUGCAUGAUACCUCUGAGCUCCACUGGCCCAAAUAUUGAGAUUGUUGAAGGCUCCUGACAACCUUUGCUAUGAACAGGACUGGUUUGGGUCCUGGCUAUUCUCAAGACUCCUUGAGGUUCAGAGGACUAAACCCUAAGAAUCUGGAGAGAAGGAAACCAUAGAUUGGAAGAUUUUCUACAUUAGCACUCAGGAUGGUCAUCACUCUCAGAAUGGAAACUCUUCCGAAAGGAGAAUAUCCUCAUUCUGCAAGCAGAAGCUCCUAUAAGACUGCUUUGUGAGUGCCCUGCAAACUUACUGCCAGUAAGAAGAGAAGAUGCAGCUGCAGGUAUCACGUGUUGUUAUGACAUUGUUGUCCAAAAAAAGGCUGAGGGAUUCUCCAGUGCAGCUUUGCCUGGCAGUGAACACUUCUGAUCAGGGCCUGAAUGGAAGAUUCUAGUGAUUCGAUUACAAACAAAACAAUUGAGUGAAAAAUGCAGUCAGGAUAAUUCCAAGAACAGUCCACGACUGGGAGCAUUGUACCCAGACCCAAGGUCCCCAGCAAUGAUGCACUCACAUCAGGCCUGAUCCUACCAUGAGAAGUUCACAUUUCUACAAUAAAAAAGUUCACAUGUUU